rnacentral:rRNA from 1 species
GAGUUUGAUCCUGGCUCAGAUUGAACGCUGGCGGAAUGCUUUACACAUGCAAGUCGAACGGCAGCACGGGGCAACCUGGUGGCGAGUGGCGAACGGGUGAGUAAUGCAUCGGAACGUGCCCAAUCGUGGGGGAUAACGUAGCGAAAGUUACGCUAAUACCGCAUACGAUCUAAGGAUGAAAGCGGGGGAUCGCAAGACCUCGCGCGAAUGGAGCGGCCGAUGUCAGAUUAGGUAGUUGGUGGGGUAAAGGCUCACCAAGCCGACGAUCUGUAGCUGGUCUGAGAGGACGACCAGCCACACUGGGACUGAGACACGGCCCAGACUCCUACGGGAGGCAGCAGUGGGGAAUUUUGGACAAUGGGCGAAAGCCUGAUCCAGCCAUUCCGCGUGCAGGAUGAAGGCCUUCGGGUUGUAAACUGCUUUUGUACGGAACGAAACGUUUCUUUCUAAUACAAGGGGCUAAUGACGGUACCGUAAGAAUAAGCACCGGCUAACUACGUGCCAGCAGCCGCGGUAAUCCC